AGAAGGUGCACUGAGGAGCAGCCAGAGGGGCAGGAGAAAUCACCAAUUUGUUUCUCAGGCUAAAAGAGACGCCAUGAAAGAGAACUUCUGGUGAAACUUCAAGGACUUAAUGAGACUUCAAGGACAUUGAUACAAGCUAUUUGUAACUCAGAAAUUCUACCUGGAUCCUAGGCCCUUGACAGUCCUUAGAGAAGAGUCGAUUGAAUAAGAAGAGAAGAAAUCCUUAUUUUUCAGCCCAAGACACUAAGCGGGAUUAAGCCUAUGUCAUUUGCUCUUCAAAGUCUGGGUUUUCUUUCAGAAACACACUGGACAUUAUAUGGGAAUAACACUUAGAGACUGGGCUGUGGAGAAGACCAAAGAGUCUGCUACAAUAUAUUAGCAAAUAAAUUCUCUUACUUCUAACAUA
rnacentral:lncRNA from 1 species